UUUUUUUUUUUUUUUUUUUUUUUUUUUUUUUUUGGCUCAAUAAUCCUUUUGGCUGCACGUAGACCAUUCAAGAGUUGCAUCUUGUUGGCAUCAGGUAAUUCAUGAGUAUUAUGCUGCACUUAGUUUUAACGAAAUUAUGUUCACUUUUUUAGAUCCAUGAAACGUAGAAAGAAAGAGGUGAUCAUUUUCAAUGACUACUUUGAGACAAGGUAUAUUGAAAUUGCUCUAGACAGGAAGAUUGGAUAUCAUAUGCUGCUACUUAAUAUUGCUUAUCUUUAUGGGCUAAUGUUACUAAUCCAACUCAGGAAUCGAUAGGAGUUAUCAUCAACAAUGUUUGAUCUUUAGGAAAAGAUUACUCUUACCAGCUGUUGGUAUGCCAAGAUGCUAGUUCGCAGCCUCUGCCUUCUAAAAAUGUGUUUCAAAUUUUCAUUUUUCUCUCAACCUAUUGUUUAUUUUAUGUUGUCUCUGAAAUAACUUCAUCCUGUAUGUUGAAUCAAGUAUCUUUUCCAUAAAAUGUUAUCAACAAACUAAAUUGCCUAAAGUCAAUGUUAUUUUAGAGAUUAUUGCUACAUUCUCUAUAUUGAAACCCAUAAUUAAUCCAUUAUGCCAAAUCUGCCAGGAUUAAAAUUUAAUAAUUUGUAUUUGAUUAUAAAUCUACAAUUUGUUAAAUUGUAAUUUAAAGAUGAUUUUUUUAUGUUGAAACUAAUUCUGUAAUACUGGACAAAAUUUCUAUCAUAAAAUUUUAUUAGUAUAAAAUGUAGUUUCUCACCACUUUUGUCAGAAGGUAACUCAAUAUUUAAAUUUAACCCAUUAUUUAAAUUUCAUCAAUUUUAUUUAUUUAAGUUAAGAAUAAAACAUCUUAUAAUUCAUAUUAUAUUUGACUUCAUUUUAAAAAUAUGGUGGAAAUUUUUUUUUUUCAUUCCAAUGCAUUGUAUAGUUAGCUUUUUGGAUAAAUUCUUUGUUUUGUAUCUGUACUGUACUGUAUAUUCAAUAUUUAUCAUUACUUUUACCUAAUUUGUUUAAAGUGUUAUCAUUUCCAAUGAAAUAAUGGAAUUAAUAUAAUUUUUAAAAAAAACUGGAAUCAAAUAUGCAUAUGGAAAAAUAAAUACUAUUUGUUUAUGUUCA